AUGAACGCUGGCGGCGUGCUUAACACAUGCAAGUCGAACGAGAACGGAUUAUAGCUUGCUAUAAUUGUCAGCUAAGUGGCGCACGGGUGAGUAAUAUAUAGAUAACCUGCCCUCUAGAAAGGAAUAACAGUUGGAAACGACUGCUAAUGCCCUAUAUGCCUUUAAUACAUAAGUAUGCAAGGGAAACGCUUUAGUGCUAGAGGAUGGGUCUGUAUGGUAUCAGCUUGUUGGUGAGGUAAUGGCUCACCAAGGCUAUGACGCCUAACUGGUUUGAGAGGAUGAUCAGUCAUACUGGAACUGAGACACGGUCCAGACUCCUACGGGAGGCAGCAGUGGGGAAUAUUGCACAAUGGACGAAAGUCUGAUGCAGCAACGCCGCGUGGAGGAUGACACAUUUCGGUGCGUAAACUCCUUUUAUAUAGGAAGAUAAUGACGGUACUAUAUGAAUAAGCACCGGCUAACUCCGUG
rnacentral:rRNA from 1 species